rnacentral:rRNA from 1 species
UACGUAGGGUGCGAGCGUUAUCCGGAAUUAUUGGGCGUAAAGAGCUCGUAGGCGGUUUGUCGCGUCUGUCGUGAAAGUCCGGGGCUUAACCCCGGAUCUGCGGUGGGUACGGCAGACUAGAGUGCAGUAGGGGAGACUGGAAUUCCUGGUGUAGCGGUGGAAUGCGCAGAUAUCAGGAGGAACACCGAUGGCGAAGGCAGGUCUCUGGGCUGUAACUGACGCUGAGGAGCGAAAGCAUGGGGAGCGAACAGG